GAUGAACGCUGGCGGCGUGCCUAAUACAUGCAAGUCGAGCGAACAGAUAAGGAGCUUGCUCCUUUGACGUUAGCGGCGGACGGGUGAGUAAAACGUGGGUAACCUACCUAUAAGACUGGGAUAACUUCGGGAAACCGGAGCUAAUACCGGAUAAUAUUUCGAACCGCAUGGUUCGAUAGUGAAAGAUGGUUUUGCUAUCACUUAUAGAUGGACCCGCGCCGUAUUAGCUAGUUGGUAAGGUAACGGCUUACCAAGGCGACGAUACGUAGCCGACCUGAGAGGGUGAUCGGCCACACUGGAACUGAGACACGGUCCAGACUCCUACGGGAGGCAGCAGUAGGGAAUCUUCCGCAAUGGGCGAAAGCCUGACGGGGCAACGCCGCGUGAGUGAUGAAGGUCUUCGGAUCGUAAAACUCUGUUAUUAGGGAAGAACAUACGUGUAAGUAACUGUGCACGUCUUGACGGUACCUAAUCAGAAAGCCACGGCUAACUACGUG
rnacentral:rRNA from 1 species